rnacentral:lncRNA from 1 species
GCGAGCAGGCGGGCGGAGGGUAGCGGGAAGCCCGGGCGGAGGGGGCGGCGUGAGAGCCUCGGGGCGGGGGCGGGGCCUGGCGCGUCCGCCGAGCGCGGGGGUUUGUUUAUUUUCCCGGUUGGUAGCGGCGCUGGCGCUGGUUAGAGGUUCGCCGGUGACGUGAGCGCCCGAGUUGGGGGAGAGGACCAGAACCACCUGCUGGAGAAAGGGAGCUACGGGGGCCGGGCAGGGUCCAAACGCCUCACGUGGGCGGCGGCGCCACGGUCUUCGGGGUCACAGGGAAGAGAAGGGCUCUCCUCAAGCGGGUGGAAGGAGGGAGGCCUCCCGAGGGAAUGAGACUCCAGGCCACUCCCCCGCAGCAAGGCAGGAUCACCUGCGUCGCGGAGAGCAGUUAGAGGUCCCUGGAGUGGAAAAGGGCAGUGGGACCUGGUAGCUUGGGUUCCCUGCAACUUGGGGUUCGACCUCCAGGCAAUGAAGUAGGGAUGGUCCUGCAAGUCAAGAUUCCAGUAGCAAGAGUGCAUCAGAUCUCUGUAAGGAAAAUAACUAACAUUGCUCAGUUCCCUGUAGAGUUGCAGGGCGCUUUGACGUUAUCUCCCUUGGUUCUCCAUCAGGUCGUAGUGGACUAAUUUUACAGGCGAAGUUAAGUGACUUACCCAAAACCUCACAGCUAAUAAACGGCAGAGCCGGCACCCAGCUGUACUGGCUUCCAGCGCAUCCCAUUAUCUCCAUAAAUCCCCCUGAUUCAACUAAUAUUAGACGCCCCACAGGUAAGAUGCUUCAGAGUUAGAGGGGAGUUGAAGAUACCUUUGCCUUCAAAGAAGUAAGGAAUGAAACAAAGAUAAAACAGACAAUAAAAGACAAACCAUGAUAGGUGCCACGUGAAAAGUGGCAGAGUACUGCCGGGAAUCAAAGAACCGUGUAUAUCUGUCUUGGGGAUAAGGAAAGAAACGCAGCAUGAAGGAGUAGGCAUUUGGGAUUGACCUUGAAGGAGACAGGGAGAGUUUUACAGCAAGAAGGGAUAGCAUGAGAAUAUAUAUGAAGGCGAAUCAGUGAAAGUUGUGUUGGGGAAAGAGCAAAGACUCCAGGUAUGUUGAGAGGUAGAAAAGACAAAGGAGUAUGGGGCCUAAGAUACCAAAUGGAUGAAUUUAUAUUUAAUUCAGUAUUUUGAGUUUUUAUGGUUCAGAAGUUUGGGGGAAGAAAAGGAAGGUUUUUUUUUUCUUUAUGCUAGUGAUUUAUCUGUGAAGGGAAGCAGAAAUCAGAGGUGGAAAAACUGACAGAUCUACUGUAGGCCAGGUAAAAGGUAAUGAUGAGUCUGACCUAAAGGGACAGCCAGGGGAAUUUAAAGAGCAUAGUUGAGAGAUGAUGUGCAUGCAGAAUCUAUAGAAUUUGCUAACUGAUUGAUUAAUUGUGGGUAGGAAGAGAGAAAUCAAAGAAAGUGGAGGUUUUGAGUUUCUAGAUAAUUGCAAGAGAGAAAAGAGACAAUUACAAAGGAAAGGAGAAGGAGCUACUUCUUGAGAGAAGAUCAGUUUAGAUUUAGACAUUUUAAGAAUUCAAAGGGUUGUCAAGACAGCCAGACGGACAUGGACACUAAUAAGUUAGAAAUAAAGGUUUUGUAAUAUGGGAAAGAGGACUGAGCUAGAAAAUAGACUCAUAGAUAAUCAGCCUAGGAGUGAUAUUGCUGUGAGAUAAAAGAAGAAAACAAAGUCAGAAUCUUGGAAAACACCCUCUUCAGAGUCUCGCUGCUCAAAACGUGGUCAGUGGCCCAGCAGCACUGACAUGAGGACCUUAGUUGGAAACUCAGAAUCUCAGGCUCCACCCCAGACCUGCUGAACCAGCAUCUUCAACUUAACAAGAACCCGAAGAGAUUUGUGCCACAUCAAAAAGUUUGAGAAGCUCUGAUCUAGGUGAGCCAAGCCAGCAAAGAAAGGGGGUGGAGCAGAAAAUGGGAGGAGAAUAGGGUAAUGCAGAAUCAUCAAGACAAGGUAAAUUGGACUUUCACAAAAACGGGGCUGGAAGGAGUGUUGCUCAACAAUAUCCAAAACCACAGAGGUUGAAAAGCACAAGGAAAGAAGGUAUGUUUGCACUUUGUGAUUAGGUAGUAGGGUCUUUAAGACCACAUUGUUCUCAUUGAAAGCCUGGGAAGAAAGAUCCCCUUUCUGGUCAAGGUUAGUCUAGGGAUCCAUCCCCUCUUCCCCAGUUCCCACGUAUAUGGGACAUGUCGAGAUAAGUAGAUAGAUUGGACAGUGGGAGAAAGUAGUUCUCUUCCAGUUGCUUCUAUUUUCUCAGCAAAGUGAGGAACAAGAUCAUUUUGGCAGACUGCUAAUUGUCCAUCAUAAUUUAGUCUCCCCUUCUCCCUGAAAACACAGACUGCUUUUCUCAGCCUCUCUUUCAGUUGCAUAUGGUCAAGUAUUAAGUUAUAGAACAUGAGCAGAUGUUAUGUCUGCCACUGUCAGGCCAAGGCGUUUACUUUGAGAGUACUUGUGCCUCUUUCAUACAUUUUCCUUUCUGCCAGCUGGACCCUGGACACGGUGACUCUGAUUCAAUUAUGCAGAUGACCACAAGCCUCUGGGGUUGGCAGAGCCACAAGAAAGAAGGUGCCUGGAUGAAGGAGAGCUACCCACUGACCUGGACACCCAAUUAUUCAUCUGUCUUAGAGCUAUUGGAAUCCUGGAUCAUUGUGGGAAAUGAAAAAUACUUCGAUGGAAUCAGCAGCCAUUGAUCCAAUGCCAACUCCAAGACUGGAACGUCGCAAUGAUAGUUCCAAGGCGGAAAUUUGACGUAAUUCUUUUCGACACAGUUUUACAGGUCUGGAUGCCCAUUUUAAUUCUUCUGAAAGCAUGCCUCCUUCUGGCUUCAGGACUCCAUCUCCAGCCUUAUGAUCUAAAAAUAAUC